GAGGAAACAGGCAUCAGGCCAGGACGUGCACAGAAAAACACUGUCAAGGUCGCAGGUUCAAACUGAUGAAAAAGAACGAACCGACGAUGAGAUGAAGGACCUGCAUUUCCUAAAUUCACUGGGAAGGUGCAGGUGAUCGGACGCACCAGGGGAGGAAGGGAAGGUAACCUGUGGACACAAAAGGCAGGACAAUACAAAAUAAAACACGAACAAACCAAACAGUGUCAUAUUACUGUUGUAAAGGGACUGAUAGAAAAUGAUAGUUAAUGUGUGAGCUUCAGAAAACCUGUUGUGCUGUUGGUUUUCGACAGUCAAAGGUGGCUCUAUAUCUUGUAUAGUAAUAAAAUGUAUUUUCUGGUACUUAAAAGCUUCAUGAUAUCAGUCAAGAGCCUGGGGACAGAUAGAUUUACAGCAGAAUAAUGUGACUACAUCUAAAAGUAUACUUAACUUUAGUUCCUCGGCUUGGCAGGACGGCAGAGCGAAAAUUGUGCCUGAUAUGAUGAGAUCAUUAGGCAGUCUCAGUGAGACCGCCAGGUCAGAACCACAUCGUUGUAUGCAAUAAUCUCCGUUACAUGCACCAGCAGUGAGGGAAAUGUGUUACAAGCUCACCUUGCGUGUGCAUGAGAGAGAGAGAGAGAGAGAGAGAGAGAGGGGAGAGACUGCUGUAUGCUGCGAUCUCCCCUGUGGGCUAAUAGAUUCGAGAUGACAUGCUCUACGCUUCCAUGCUGAAUGUUCACUGAACUUUCUGGCAAAAGAGGCUGCCACUAAAGAGGGUUCAACUAGAGGUUAAUAUAAACAAACAGCCGAAAAUAGAGGGCUAGGGAUUAUUAAAUACAGGAAUGACUGACAAAUCCCUCAUUGCCAUUAGCCCGUGGCCUCCACCUACGCCCCUUGCCAAAAAUACCGUCUCCUAACUGUGGUUCCGAUGACUCUCACUCAAAAGCUUUGGCUUUCACAGGUCAAGCAUUCCUCUUUCUGGCAAAUCAUACUCUUGAAAACGUCCAAUAAGUAUCGGUGUAAUCGUGGCUCUUUGUCCCGUUUAGUGUCUCUGUCCACAAUUCACACUUGAGUGCUGAUUGAUAUUUCUCACCAAAGGGCCAACAUCAUUAGCACAAUGCCUGUUUUAGAAAAGUGCUCAAAACUACUUACUUCAAUCUCCCUUCCCUCUUCAUCAUAUCACUGUCUGUAAAAUAUAUGGUGUUAAAUUUGUAUGCUG
ensembl:lncRNA